GCGCUCGUAGCUCAACAGGUUAGAGCGCCGGUCUUAAACACCGGUGGUUACGGGUUCAAAUCCCGUCGGGCGCG
rnacentral:tRNA from 1 species